UACCAAUGAGAGGGAGAGGGACCUGUAAAAGCGCGGUGGACCCCUUUCCCCUACUCCACCAUCAAGGAAUUGUGCAAGGCUCAGAAGGAGUUUUCCCGGGAGAGUGAAUACUUCCGAGGCUCCUUCGAGCCUCUUUAUUAGAGACUAAUGUAGUUCCUGCCGAUUUGCGGACUCUUUUUUCAUGUCUCCUCAACCCAACCCAGUUCUUGGUUUGGGAGGAGGCAUGGAAAAAGGGGGUCAGGGACAUCCUCCCAUAUUUGUGGGCAGAUUCCCAGAGCAGCACAAUCGGUGGUGGUGAAGUGGUCUGCACAGAACAUCUGCUUGGUCUCUUGGGCCGAUGGGGCGACCCAGGCUAGGGUUCUCCCUCGCACUGCGCUACGGGAGAGUGCUAAAGUCACGGAGCGGGCUUUCCUCUCUCUAAAAUCUACCACACCACCACUAACCUUCUCAAAGAUUGUUCAAGGGAGCGAAGAGCCGUUUAUAGUUUUCGUCGAGCGUCUCCGCAGGGCUAUCGACCAACAAGUCCAGGGUGAAAGCGCUUGAUCUGAAGUGCUGCUGGAGAUGGCUGCCACGAAUGCCAACACCGCAUGCAAGGCAGCCAUCCUCAGUCUUCCCCUUGACCCUACGCCCACCAUCCAGAACAUGCUAGAAGUGUGCCAGAGGAAGGUCCCAGUUAUUAUGAAAGAGGACAUCACCGCAAUGAGGACUCCUAUGCGUUGGGUGUCAUUUGUCGAAUCCCCGGAUUUUCCAACCGAUGUGAUGGCAACCCAGACGCAACGCACCCCAGUUCAAGGGAGACCCAACCCAUGGGCAAUGCCAUCUUUGUGGGAGCCUCGAUCACUGGAUGCCAGACUGCCCACUCCAGAGCCAAUUCCACAUGUUCUGAAGGAAGCAGGCGGCAUCCCAGGAGGGACUUAAUUCUCAACAAAAAAACUAAAAUCUGAGCGCAGCCCCUCCCUGCGUGCGGACAGAAAUGAGGCAGGCAUUUUAUCAUCAAAAAAAGGGGAUUUGGGGAGGGGAUCCCAACAUGCCCAUUUACCGGACAUGACUUUAAAUACACCAAAUGUGACCGUAAAUCCUACUCAUUCUCUUCCGUUGCUAACCACCUCUUCUGUGGUUUCGCCCUUCAGGUUGCAGCUGGUUGAGGAUCUUGACAUCACAGACUCCCAGUGCCAACUCGUGAUGGUUGUGCCUCAGGCACCAGUUCACGAAGACAGCGUUCAUCCUCAAGUGUGCAAUGGAAAGACCAGGUUGAAGAAAGGAAGGAAACUGAAGAAUCCUCUGGGACAUUACUGAAUCCUCCAGCCAGCUUCAGCCUGGAUGAAGGCUCAGUUGUAAGGACAAAAGCCUCAACAGUAAACAGGAUAGAAAAAAGCCUCAAUAGUAAAUAAUAAACAGUAAAUAGAAAAAAAAAAAAAAGUUCAAUAGUAAGGAAAAAAAUGCGGCACACAUUGUUUACGCUUUUAAAAACAUACUGUCAAAAUAUUUACUGUGCUGAGGAUUUGCUGCAUUUGUUGUGCUGAGCUGUGGAAGAACUCUGCCAUUCUCUUAUCCUUUUUGUUAUUAUGCUACCUUUAAAAAAUUUUAAUACAUGAAUAAAUGUAACCAACACCUUGGAGAAGAUAAUUUGAAAAUGUUUUUUAAGUACAGGUAGGAUGUACUGGCAUUCCUAAUUAAGGCAUUUUGUAGAUACGGAUUAUCAUUUCAUGUGAGGAAUGUUCUGUCUUUCCACCCAACUUUUUUGUCAAGCUUCAUUAGCUACCAUUGUAGAAAUGUUUAUUUCUAUUUUAUACACUCUUUUAGUUUAGUGCGAGAAUUUGACUGUAAAAAUGGCUUGAAAAUUGUUUCAAGCUUUCAGGUAGAAAAGCAGAGGGGAUGUUUUGUUGUUGUUUUGUUUUUCACUUGUUUUGCUGUGGAUUUGGCACACUGGAUAUAUUUCACAGAAUUAUUUUCUGAAAACUUUCUCUUCUUAAAUGACCACUUUGGGCCUUUCUAAUGUCUUUAUCCAGCUACCCAUUGAAUAACAAUUCUGCCAUCUUUAUGCAGGGUGAGGAAAGCAGGGACAAAGGAAAGUUCUUGGCAUGUUUAGAAAAUCUCUCCUUUCAUUGUGUGGUAACAUUUGCUCUGUUUCUAUUCCUAGCAAUAUGAAAUAUUUUUGGUGUUGGCUUGGAAACUUCUCCUCUUUCUCUCUCAGAGCUGUGAGCAUGGAAGCUACAUGAGGUCUGUUCCCUGUUGACAGGAGCAGAGACCUACAUCAGAGAGUUUUCAGAUUUGUGGGUGUCUUUUGCUCAGUUGAUGGAGUUACUCCACACUUUGACUUAGUGUUGUCCACUGCCCAGGCAGAUCUGUGAUUCAUUAACUGAAUCUAGAAUGUCUUGGCUACAAAAAAUUAAAGUCUGUUUUUUAAUUAUUUGCAAUCAUUGCGAACUUCUAAUGGAUAUACUUGGAUUACUAAUUUACUAAAAUUGAAUACAAUAAUUUUUAAAAAAAUGUAUUAAGUGUCUGGCUCAGGUUUCCUGCAAAUAGAUCAUGCUGUUUUCAAUAAAUCAAAUUAAUAUCCUUUAAAAGCAAAGUUUGAACAGUGUUUCAGAUCCAGCAUUGUGUCUUUCAGAACAUUUACAGGUUCCAUCCUGUAUAAGUGAAAAAGAAUGGGAUAUUAUACAAGAAACGGGAACUAAUAACCUGCUCGAUGUUUCCUUUGUGUUGUUGUUUCUUAAAGAUGCACACCUCUGGCCUUCUGGACACUCACUUAUCAGUACAGCUUUGCAAAACUGAUGGGCAACCUGAGCGUACUGAUGAAGACAGCUCAAGGGAGCAUUCACGGGUGCAAAGCUUACCUGGAGAGGGACUCCCUGAUACAGAGGCUGGCUCGUGGGCUCAACAGAGUAAAUGCCCAGGCCCUGGAAGCUGGAUUGUAUGACAGACUGCCCAGCACAAUUGUAGUUGAAAUGCAGAUGACAACUUUCCUUGAAGAAUUAUUUCUUGUUUCUGGAACAGUUCCUGGAUGAGAAGAACAGUCCACAAAGGUGUUUACAAGGAGAAUCAAUGAAGACAAUAUACAUGAGGAGUUAGACAAGGCUUUGCAGUGUGAGCACGAGGCAAGAUUGCUUGUAGAAGAACAACAGCGACGGCUUCAGGAGCUGAGUAGCAGAAUGGAAUCACUCUCAUUUACUGACAUAGAUAAAAGCCAAGUCUCCAAUUUAUCUCUGAUGGGAGAAUGGUGAACAUGAAAAAUCCCAUGAUGACAUACACAGAAUUGGAAUAUAUUGGCAGCGGGUCUUUUGGAAAUGUGGUUAGAGCACUCGACAAUGUCACAGGAGGACAGGUUUCUCCAGCUCAGGAAGGCUUCAGGAGUCACCUCCCUUUAACAGCAAGCUCCAGCCGCAAGCACUGGAGUUCGGGGCAUGCCCAACUUGUCUCCACGUGACCAGCUGCGACCACAGAAUUCCCCAUUGCCAGAACCACAGUCCAGCAAUAAGGGUGCUUUCCUGAAGGCAUAUGGCUAUCAGUCCUCAUGGUGGGCAUGCAGAAUGGGGAGAAGGAGGAGAAUGUAACUUGUGAUGAACUUUAUGACAGUGAACACCAGAAUGACCUGCCCAGGUGUUGUGGUGGUGGUGGCAAAUCGAGAACCACCUAAUGAAGAAAGCCAAAUCUAGUCAAAGCAUUUUCAGCUAAAUGCAGUUUACAUAAAAGAAUAAGUAAAAAACAAAGAUCACAGUCUUUUUGUUGUUGUGUUCGAGGGUGCCAAGGGUGAGGGAUGAGAUGAGAAUCUUGACUCCAUGUUUCAGAAGGCUGAUUUAUUAUAUUAUCAUAUAUAUUAUAUUAAAAUGAUACACUAAAACUAUACUAAAAGAAUAGAGAGAAAAUGGUCCUUCAGAAGGCUAGAAAGAAAAGGAAUGGAAUGCAUAACAAAAUCCUGCGACUGCUCACAGCCUCAACACAGGUGGCUGUGAUUGGUCAUCAAUUGAAAACAAUCCACAUGGACCAAUCUGAGAUGCACCUGUUGCAUUCCACAGCAGCAGAUAGUUAUUGUUUACAUUUGUUUCCUGAGGCUCCUCAGUUUCUCAGGAGAAAAUCCUGGCAAAAGGAUUUUUCAGAAAAUAUCAUGGCUACAGUCCUUCUGCUUACUUUUUUUUUUUUUUUCCUCCUAAUUUCCUUGGGAAAAUUUUUGGGAAUAUUUCAGGAUACUGAAUCCAGGAUAGUUCCUGUGAUUGGGUGACUGAUGAAAUCUUUGGCAUGAAAAAUGUAUGCAUCCUUCUGGUAGAUGGAAUAAAAAUAAAUACUAAAACCCAGCUGGUAAAGCCAGGGUGUUUCUUUCUGGCAGUUCUGUGAAGCAGAGUCUAACUGGCUCAUCCCAGGCAGGGUUUUCACUCAGUGGAUCACAGGUCCCUGCAGAGGUGUCCAUGAGAGCAGCUCCUUGGAGUCCCAUGUGCUCGGUGGGCAUCCAUCCAGUCAGUCAGUGGAGAAUGUGGGAUGACUCGCAGGAGCAGAUGAAGGUGCCUGUUUUGGGAUGAAAUUAAACCUUCCUGCAGCUUCCUUGCCUGUUGUCGGGGUUGUGGGUGGCUCUACCAGUCUGUCCAGGGAGACUCCCCGGCUGCAAGGAGCUGCCCUAAAUUCCUUUGUGGAGGGGGCAGUCAGAAGCUUUGCUGAGCAGAGGCUGCCCAGCAAGUGCAGUGUGACUGCAGGAUGCAGCAGAAGCAAGGCAGAAGAAGAGGAGGUAACCUGGGCACGAGUUGAUUGAACAGCAGCAAUGUUCAGCACUUACUGCCUCAAUCCCGUAAUUCAGGGAUUCAACCUGUGUCAGAGACAAGAAAGCCCCUAAUCAGCCCUGUCUUGGUACUGGGAGGCUUCUCACAGCCCUUGUGGGACCUUGCCAGAAGUGGAGGCUGGACCUUCACAGAGUAGGAAGAAACUUUACCCUGAGAAAUUUAAAACUGUGUUCAAAUAAAGAGGGAAGCCUAUAGGAAUCACCUCUACCAAGCCCCCUGAGAUUUUUGUUAAAGCUGUAUUCAU